rnacentral:rRNA from 1 species
AGCAGCCGCGGUAAUUCCAGCUCCAAUAGCGUAUAUUAAAGUUGCUGCAGUUAAAAAGCUCGUAGUUGAAUUUCGGGAUCGACGGGUCGGUCGCGCCUCUGGUGUGUACUGGCCCUGUCGGUUUCUCCCUUCUGAAGAACCGCGAUGUCAUUAAUUUGGUGUCGUGGGGAAUCAGGACUGUUACUUUGAAAAAAUUAGAGUGUUUAAAGCAGGCAUUCGCUUGAAUACAUUAGCAUGGAAUAAUGAAAUAGGACGUUUGAUCUUAUUUUGUUGGUUUCUAAGAUCGACGUAAUGAUUAAUAGGGAUAGUUGGGGGCAUUAGUAUUCAAUUGUCAGAGGUGAAAUUCUUGGAUUUAUUGAAGACUAACUACUGCGAAAGCAUUUGCCAAGGAUGUUUUCAUUAAUCAAGAACGAAAGUUAGGGGAUCGAAGACGAUCAGAUACCGUCGUAGUCUUAACCAUAAACUAUGCCGACUAGGGAUCGGAUGAUGUUAAUUUUUAAUGACUCAUUCGGCGCCUUAC